GAUAUCCAACACACUGGGCAGGAAGGAGAAUCCAACUCGAGUGUAAAAGGAUGCAAACGGCGUGUUCAGAUCAGCGACUUCAAACUAGGACUACACCAAUCAGGAUCAAUGGAGGAUGGACACCUAAAGGAAUUCCACAAGGAGAGUCGGACGUUGGAAAGGGACCUAAAUGGAUAUUCAAGAUGACCUUCAGACCUGUAAUGAGACGGCUCUGCCUCCCUGGCUGGAUUGAUGGAGAGCCCUGUGGAUCUUGUCUUGCUCUCAGUUGCACGUCUUCUCAGGCUGAACUGUAUUUUUUUCGGACAGGACUAGCUGAACGAUUGGUUCCCUCAAAUCAGAACCACUCCGGGAACUCCAGCUAGUGCGCUCUUCAAGCUGUAGUUGUGCUCUUCAGCUGAGGCGGUAAGGAAACCUUCGCUGGGGCUUCAAGGUGUAAAGAGGAGAAUGUUUGAAAGUGUUCCAUGGUACUCUGAUGAAGACCGUUGUUGUGUUCCACUGGCUGAGAGGUAAAACCACACAUCUUCCUCUUGGCCUUUCUCCUCUGAGAAUCAUGGCGCCAUCUUGAAGGAUAUUCCAGCUCAUGUAACUGAUGUCACGACAGAUUCUCAAACACUUUGUUUCUCCUGAGGGGAGUGUCUAUAGAACUGAAGACUUCAGACAGCAAUGUAUCCCAGCAGGCAUCUCUGCUCACUCAGACCACACCCCCGUGAGUAGGAUGCAACACUCUAGUGAUGGAGAUGUAGAGUUGUAUAAGUAACGAGGGAGCAGACAAAGGUGAUUAGAACACAAUGGCAUGUUAAGUCUGUAAAUCUUUAAACCAUGAAGAUGGUUGGAUAGUUCAGGAAUUGGGCUUUUUAUUAUUGGCAGUCCUUUUACUCAGAUGCCCACUUCUCACUGGAGCUGUAGAUGUCUUGGCUGGCAUGAUUUGCUGUUGGUGAUGAGGCGGUCAGGGUGACAUUGCAGGGCUAUGGUCGGCUCGCUGUGAGCUCAACGUUUAGAUUUUCUGUGUGGUUUUUACCCUGAAUAAUCUAGAUAAUUGUAAAAUGUAGACAUGCUUUUGUAUUGCAUGAUUUGAGGUUUAAAGUUGUUGUGGGACGUACAUGGUAGUUUGGUUCUUCGUACAGUUUUGAGUGAUAUAACUUGUACACACUGGGUGCAUAAUAAUGUAAAGGUACACUGAAUAUUAGUAUUGACCAACAGCAACAAACAGAUCUCUUCAAGGUAAGUCUGUUGGCUGUGUUUUAAUGAAGACCAUCACUGGACUUCAGGAUCUUCCUACGUUCAGCUCAAGGUGAGGCGCUGGUUCUGUUUUUUCUUUGGUUGGUUCCGGCUGGAAUGUUCGGAUUCCAGUCGGACGGUUUGUGCUUCCCGCCGUGGAAGUUUCUGAGUGCGGUAAUUUGAUUUAGACCCAAUGGUUAGCAUAGAACGUUGUAGUCUUGACAACCAUAAGAAACCACCUGGCAGUUAGUUGGACGGGAGUCCCCUGAGGGAAUCAGGCGGAACGUUCUGGGUUGUAUUUGCGUAACCUCGAGCCGUUGCCAACGGAAAAUAUUUUUCAGUCGGUUUCCAUUUGGAAUGGAUGCCCCUAUCAUAAACAACUAAGUUUGAUAUUAAAUACAUACUGACACGUACGUCGUACAAUAUGUUGAUAAUUUCCGAUGGGUGCGCCGUACUUUUAACCACGAUGACGUGACGGGACUCUCACUGCGUACAAAACGGCGUUCUACUUGCGGGCCCAUUUUUGACAUCAGUGAAGGCUGAAAAUAAUUUCAAGGAGGAAGAUAAUUUUACAUUUCUUCAACGGAAUCCAGCACCUGAAUAUGGCUGAGUAUAUUUGAUUCAAUAUUGGUACUGCUUAGUUCUUUGUUAAUUCAGCUUUUGUACGUUCUAAAUAUCUGCCGUCAUUAAUUGCCACAGAAGAUAAUCCCUACCCAAUGGAAUGACGUCAAACAACGUCUUGAGUGCAGAGUUAUCAACUGGAUAAUAUCAAAGCUAAAAUAAUGGCCGUCCUUCCCACAUGCUACAGUAGAAGAUACUCUAGAACUGUACAAGGUUAAAAAGAUAACAUGUAGUUUGUCCCAAGGUGUCUGCCUCCUCACCCAGAGCAAGACCUCCACCUCCUCACCCAGAGCCAGACCUCCACCUCCUCACCCAGAGCCAGACCUCCACCUCCUCACCCAGAGCCAGACCUCCACCUCCUCACCCAGAGCCAGACCUUCACCUCCUGUCAGAAGUUCUCCAGAACAGCUGAAAUGCGAGGCUGGGGACUGGAGGCUUGUGGUGCCAGAGUGGACCGGAGACUGAGGCUGGAGACCAGGGGCCUGCAGCACCGGACCAGAGGACCAGGAAUCCAUGGCUGAAGGAGCUGAUGGAGGAGCUGUGCUGAAGGAGCUGAUGGAGGAGCCGUGCUGACGGAGCUGAUGGAGGAGCCGUGCUGAAGGCCCUGCCUGAUGGAGGAGCUGGUGGAGGGCCUGCCUGGUGAAUGACGUCCGUCGUGGGGUAGAUGGAGCCUGACUCUGAAGUGAUCAUCACACUCACUGCCACUUCUCGUAGAAUACUACUACCACAAACUACCGGCGUUUGUACCAUAUAUACCAGACGACUACAUCUGUUUUACCACAUGUUGAAGCCAGACUUCCGCUGUUUGUUCCAGACCAGGACUCUGGCUGAGGAGAGCUGCUGGAGGAGCUGAGACGCUGGAGGAGCUGAGACGCUGGAGGACGACUAGGAAUCGUCCAACAAGGAUUCCUCAAAGUGUUUCUGGAGCGGAGGCGAGUUGGUCGAGGAGCCGUGAAUCUGGAGGAUGACCAUCACUCUACCAACCAGGAUCCUCGUCUUUCAUGGAUAUUUAACUGCAGUUCUGUGAGUAUCCCAACUUAACCAUGAAGAGGAACUGCAAACUGUAAGUCAUAAGUUUCUCAUUACUCUUGGGCACAUUGAUGUAUUUUGGCUUCCUGGUGAGUUAGCCCAUUACCUGAAGGUUGAUCUGAGUAGUAAGGAUGUUUUAUUGGUUCAUGGGUUACUUAGGUGUUUGGUUUAUGUUGGUUUUAAUGAUUUGUUAAAAGGGUUACAGGCUCCAAGUUAUUGUUGUAAGCUGGAGUAAUGGGUUGGGUUAUUUUCAGCUACUCUCCUGAGCUCUGCAUCUUCAUCACAGUCACAGAGUGUUGCUUUACUAAUGAGGGUGUGGUCUGAGUGAGCGGAGCUGCAUACUGGGAUACAGAGCUGUCUGAAGUCUACAGGUCUGUAGACAAGCCCCCUCAGCGGAAACCGAGUGUUUGAGAAACCGUCGUGACGUCAGUUACAUGGACUGGAAUGUUCUUAAAGAUGGAGACAGGGAUUCAGAAGGAGAAACACCAGGGGGGAUGAGGGGGCUCUUCAUCUCAACGACGAAAACACAACUUCAGUCUGACACAGAGAACCAUGGAACACAUUCAACAGUCCCCUCAGACAUCGUGACUCCUCAGGAACAGUUUCAUUUCCAUGAAGGUCUUAUUGGGGCCAUCCCCAGACGGAUCCUGCUCCUCAAGAGCCACCCCCCUCCACGGAGUGGUCUUCUGAACAGAUGACCUCCUUCCUGUCCUCAGGCUGACUAAAGCUCUACCGUUUGCAUCUGUGAAGGCCCCUCAUUCAGAAAACCACUCGACUACAAAGACAUGACUUCAGAGACGUUGAAUCAACCUGGGACACAUUUUGGAGACGCCAAGCAUAAUCCAUCACCAAUGUGGGACGCCACUGAAGAAUGUUGUGCAUAAGAAAACGUCUCUGGAGACAUUGGUUGUUCUGUUCUGGUUGCCCUGGCAGGAGAGCUGGGGGGGGGGGGGGGAUGAUGGAAUGUUAUUUGGCAUGAGGUUUUUACCUUGCAUGAUUGUUUGGCCUUUUAUGGCUCAGUGGUGUGUGUGUAUGUGUGUGUGUGUGUGUGUGUUCGGGUUUGACAUGAGAUGGAUGAUUUUUGAGCAUCGCUAGGGUUCUGCUGUGUGUGUCUCUCCCACUCACACCUGGGGUUCUACGUGCCUGUCCUGGGUUCUAUGUGUGUGUCCGGCUUGCUGUGACGGUGAUGAUGUUCAGACGGGGGUCUGUGUGAUUGGCUUGGGAUAUUGGAAUGGUCAAAUAAAUCAUACCUGAUGGACGGUCACACGUUUACUUAAGGGCCUCCAGUAGACAUGAAGAGCCCAGAGCGACGCUCCGCAGCGAUAUCCAACACGCUGGGCAGGAAGGACGGUAUCCAAAUCAAAUGUAAAAGGAUGCAAGCAGCGUGUUCAGAUCAGUGACCUCAAACUAGGACUACACCAAUCAGGAUCAAUGGAGGAUGGACACCUAAAGGAAUUCCACAAGGAGACUGACAUUGGAAAGGGACCUAAAUGGAUAUUCAAGAUGACCUUCAGACCUGUAAUGAGACGGCUCUUCUUACCUGGCUGGAUUGAUGGAGAGCCCUGUGGAUCUUGUCUUGCUCUCAGUUGCACGUCUUCUCAGGCUGAACUUUAUAUGUUUGGGACAGGACUAGCUGAACGAUUGGUUCUGAUUUAAGGGAACCAAUCCGGGAACUCCAACUAGUGCGCUCUUCGAGCUGAAGUUGUGCUCCUCAGCUGAGGUAAGGAAACCUUCACUGGGGCUUCAAGGU